UAACGGGGCGGUCCUCUAUGAGGCCCGUCAUUGUAUUGAGUAAAACUCAAAAUAUUUAACGAAACCAAUUGGAGGGCAAGUCUGGUGCCAGCAGCCGCGGUAAUUCCAGCUCCAAAAGCAUAUAUUAAAGUUGUUGCGGUUAAAAGCUCGUAGUUGGAUCCAUGACCUCGGAGGGCGGUCCCCCACUGGGUGCGUACUGCUGCUCCGAGUCCUAUCUGUCAGUUUGUCUGUGUUGCCUUUAAUCGGGUGGCACAGGUGACUGACGUGUUUACUUUGAAAAAAUUAGAGUGUUUAAAGCAGGCGUUGAAUGCCUGAAUAGUGGUGCAUGGAAUAAUGGAAUAGGAUCUCGGUUCUAUUUUGUUGGUUCAAGAGCAUGAGAAAAUGAUUAAGAGGGACAGACGGGGGCAUUUGUAUUGCUGCGUUAGAGGUGAAAUUCUUGGAUCGUAGCAAGACAAACUACUGCGAAGGCAUUUGCCAAGAAUGUUUUCAUCAAUCAAGAACGAAAGUUAGAGGUUCGAAGGCGAUCAGAUACCGCCCUAGUUCUAACCGUAAACCAUGUCGACUAGCUAUCUGUCAGCGUUAAUAAUGACCUGACAGGCAGCUUACCGGAAACGAAAGUUUCUCGAUUCCGGGGGUAGUAUGGUUGCAAAGCUGAAACUUAAAGGAAUUGACGGAAGGGCACCACCAGGAGUGGAGCCUGCGGCUUAAUUUGACACAACACGGGAAAACUCACCCGGCCCGGACACCGUAAGGAUUGACAGAUUAAUAGCUCUUUCUCGAUUUGGUGAUUGGUGGUGCAUGGCCGUUCUUAGUUGGUGGAGCGAUUUGUCUGGUUAAUUCCGAUAACGAACGAGAUUCUAACUUACUAACUAGUUCCACGAUCCUUGUGGUCCUAAAUACUUCUUAGAGGGAAAACCGGCAUUUAGUCGGACGAGAUUGAGCAAUAACAGGUCUGUGAUGCCCUUAGAUGUCCGGGGCUGCACGCGUGCUACACUGAAGGAAUCAGCGUGUUUUUCCCUUGCCUGUAAUGGCUGGGUAACCGACUGAAUCUCCUUCGUGCUAGGGAUAGAUCAUUGAAACUAGUGAUCUUCAACUUGGAAUUCCUGGUACGUUUGAGUCAUAAGCUCAAGCAGAUUACGUCCCUGCCCUUUGUACACACCGCCCGUCGCUACUACCGACUGGCAAUAUCUUUGAGACACUUGGAGCGGCCGUGAGCUACCCUAACCGGUAACUCACGGCUGCGAAAAGGUU
rnacentral:rRNA from 1 species